CACUACCCCUGUAAGCUGAAAGGAAGGAAGUGCUGCAGAGGAAGUGCUGGGAGAGAAUCAGCAGAGUGAGAGAAAGUUGGUGCUGUAAGGUGGCUGAUAUUACUGUGUGUGAAAAGUCAGUAGUGGCAGAAACGCAUGCUUUGUUUAGGGAGUGGAAGGAAAGGGGUCCUUGUCAGGGCUCUGAGGAACAAAGCUUGCUUUUUUCAGAGCACAGAAAGCCAUUUUCCACAUAUGCAGGAUCUCCCAGCAGCUGAGAAACCAAACUAUCUACAUGAAUAUGUGAAGUUAUUGCUGGCUGGAGGUAUCAAAUGUAUUUAAAGAUCAUAAUGAGACGACAUUUCUAAAAGUAAACCUCGCAGUUGUAAAGAAUGGGCGCUCCUGUAUACAUGGUUGGCUAUUUUCUAGCUCAGAGAUGGACUAAUAUUUUCCACUGCGCAAAGUCAAUCCAGUCACAUCUGCAAGUGCAGUGUUGAUACAAUGCUGUAGAAUUAAAAUGGAUCUCACUAAGUAGAAAGAUGCUGCAAAAAGCCCAAAUCCGGCUCCUAUGAAGUUUUGGUCUGCACGGUGUUUAGUCUGAAAAUCCUACUUUUUCUGGGUUUUCAAGCAAUAACGUGAAAAAUUUUAGCCAUUGGGAAAAAAUUUGAGCAAUUCAGGAAGAGGCCCGAUUAAAUCAAUUUUUUUUAUCAAUAAAUAAGCUAAAAUAAGG